UGGGGAAUCUUCCGCAAUGGACGAAAGUCUGACGGAGCAACGCCGCGUGUAUGACGAAGGCCUUCGGGUUGUAAAGUACUGUCUUUGGGGACGAACGGUAUCUAUGUAAAUAAUGCAGAUACAUGACGGUACCCAAGGAGGAAGCCCCGGCUAACUACGUGCCAGCAGCCGCGGUAAUACGUAGGGGGCGAGCGUUGUCCGGAAUCAUUGGGCGUAAAGGGCGCGUAGGCGGGUCAUUAAGUCUGGUGUGAAAGGGCAGGGGCUCAACCCCUGGAAGGCACCGGAACUGUUAUCUUGAGGCAGGAGAGGAAAGCGGAAUUCCACGUGUAGCGGUGAAAUGCGUAGAUAUGUGGAGGAACACCAGUGGCGAAGGCGGCUUUCUGGACUGUAACUGACGCUGA
rnacentral:rRNA from 1 species